AACCUAACAGAGACUUACAUCAAACUUUAAAAGGCAAACUGAAAAAAUAUUCUCAUUCAGAGAGAGCAUGGCCUGUGUGCCAACUACCACUGCUUUGAGAGAUCCUCUUUGCACAGAACUGAGGAAAACAAGCUAUUGCAAUGUUUGACCCCUUUAGUGUUACCUUCCUAUCAUGAGCAAAGGGCUGUUAUUUCACCUUUUCAGACUGCUCAGCAGAGAGACACAGCAUUGCUGCCACUGUCUUCCUAGCUGGUACAAAACUUCCACACAGACUUUUAUCAAAAGGAACCUCCAUCCGGUGGAGCAUAUAGAGAUUAAAAUAGCAUCCAUAUUCCAGGAUUCAUUCUGGACACAAAUGUCCACAGUGCUGGCCCCAAGAGGACAAGUGAAAAUGUUACACUGAGGUACUUCAGUUUUAGUCUGAACAGUCUGGAGGAGGUUUGCAGGAGAGUGAACGCCUGUGGACACUGAAGAUCCAAAGCAGAAUCAAAUACAAGAAACUCUUCCAUUAGGCCCAUUCUCACUUUCAAGAUGGUGCUUUAGAAGUAUCAAAGGAAGCAAGCAGAAAUACA